rnacentral:snRNA from 1 species
UUCAGACUAGGUUAAAUGUUGGGCCUCACGAUUAAGUAAGGGCCCUCCAAAAAUAGGCGUAAGCCACUUGGCGUGGAGAGCACACGGUAUUCUUUAGUAAAAGGCGAAAGAAUAGUUCGCUUUGUGCUCACCACAUAG